GAUGAAGAACGCAGCGAAAUGCGAUAAGUAAUGUGAAUUGCAGAAUUCAGUGAAUCAUCGAAUCUUUGAACGCACAUUGCGCCCGCUAGUAUUCUGGCGGGCAUGCCUGUCCGAGCGUCAUUUCAACCCUCAAGCCCCCGGGCUUGGUGUUGGGGAUCGGCGAGCCUCCGCGCCCGCCGUCCCCUAAAUCUAGUGGCGGUCUCGCUGUAGCUUCCUCUGCGUAGUAGCACACCUCGCACUGGGAAACAGCGCGGCCACGCCGUUAAACCCCCAACUUCUGAACGUUUGACCUCGGAUCAGGUAGGAAUACCCGCUGAACUUAAGCAUAUCAAUAAGCGAGGA
rnacentral:misc_RNA from 1 species